rnacentral:rRNA from 1 species
CGGCGGACGGGUGAGUAACACGUGGAUAACCUACCUAUAAGACUGGGAUAACUUCGGGAAACCGGAGCUAAUACCGGAUAAUAUAUUGAACCGCAUGGUUCAAUAGUGAAAGACGGUUUUGCUGUCACUUAUAGAUGGAUCCGCGUCGCAUUAGCUAGUUGGUAAGGUAACGGCUUACCAAGGCAACGAUGCGUAGCCGACCUGAGAGGGUGAUCGGCCACACUGGAACUGAGACACGGUCCAGACUCCUACGGGAGGCAGCAGCC